GCAGCUGCUCCAAGCUUUUCUGCCAUUUGAAGCUUCUUCUGGGAGCCAGCUGUGACCAGAGGAAUAGCUCCAGCCAUCCGGUUAAAAGUUUAACAACCGGAACAGCUCCAGUCUGCAGCUCCCAGCGUGAUCGACGCAGAAGACAGGUGAUUUCUGCAUUUCUGACUGAGGUACCUGAUUCAUCUCACUGGGACUGGUUUGACAGUGGGUGCAGCCCACAGAGGGGGAGCUGAAGCAGGGCAGGGUGUCACCUCACCCUGGAAGUGCAAGGGGUCAGGGGAUUUCCCUUUCCUAGCCAAGGGAAGCCGUGACAGACUACCUGGAAAAAUGGGACACUCCUGCCCAAAUACUGCACUUUUCCCAAGAUCUUAGCCACCGGCAGACAAGGAGAUUCUCUCCCGUGCCUGGCUCGGCGGGUUCCACACCCACGGAGCCUUGCUCACUGCUAGUGCAGCAGUCUGAGAUCGAACUGCGAGGCGGCAGCCUGGCUGGGGGAGGGGCGUCCGCUGUUGCUGAGGCUUGAGUAGGUAAACAAACCAGCUGGGAAGUUCGAACUGGGCAGAGCCCACUGCAGCUCAGUAAGGCCUACUGCCUCUAGACUCCAUCUCUGUGGCCAGGGCAUAGCUGAACAAAAGGCAGCAGACAACUUUUGCAGACUUAAAGGUCCCUGUCUGACAGCUCUGAAGAGAGCAUUGGUUCUCUCAGCAUGGUGUUUGAGCUCUGAGAACGGACAGACUGCCUCCUCAAGUGGGUCCCUGACCCCCAUGUAGCCUAACUAGGAGAUACCUCCCAGGAGGGGCCGACAGACACCUCAUAUAGGCACCUGCCUCUCUGGGACGAAGCUUCCAGAGGAAGGAUCAGGAAGUAGUAUUUGCUGUUCUGCAAUAUUUGCUGUUCUGCAGCCUCUGCUGGUGAUACCCACGAAAACAGGGUCUGGGGUGGACCUCCAGCAAACUCCAACCGACCUGCAGCUGAGGUACCUGACAGUUAGAAGGAAAACUGAAAAACAGAAAGGAAUAGCAUCAACAUCACCAAAAAGGUCAUCUACACCAAAACCCCAUCUGUAGGUCACCAACAUCAAAGACCAAAGGUAGAUAAAACCACAAAGAUGGGGAGAAACCAGAGCAGAAAAGCUGAAAAUUCUAAAAAUCAGAGUGCCUCUUCUCCUCCAAAGGAUCAAACUCCUCGCCAGCAAAGAAACAAGGCUGGAUGGAGAAUGACUUUGACGAGUUGACAGAAGUAGGCUUCAGAAGGUUGGUAAAAACAAACUUCUCCAAGCUAAAGGAGGAUGUUUGAACCCAUCGCAAGGAAGUAAAACCCUUGAAAAAAGAUUAGACGAAUGGCUAACUGGAAUAAACAGUGUAGAGAAUGCCUUAAAUGACCUGAUGGAGCUGAAAACCAUGGCACAAGAACUUCGUGACGCAUGCACAACCUUCAAUAGCCGAUUCGAUCAAGUGGAAGAAAGGGUAUCAGUGAUUGAAGAUCAAAUUAAUGAAAUAAAGCAAUAAGACAAGGUUACAGAAAAAAGAGUAAAAAGACAUGAACAAAGCCUCCAAGACAAAUGGGACUAUGUGAAAAGACCAAAUCUAUGUUUGAUUGGUGUACCUGAAAGUGAUGGGGAGAAUGGAACCAACUUGGAAAACACUCUUCAGGAUAUUAUCCAGGAGAACUUCCCCAACCUAGCAAGGCAGGCCAACAUUCAAAUUCAGAAAAUACAGAGAACACCACAAAGAUACUCCUUGAGAAGAGCAACCCCAAGACACAUAAUUGUCAGAUUCACCAAGGUUGAAAUGAAGGAAAAAGUGUUAAGGGCAGCCAAAGAGAAAGGUUGAGUUACCCACAAAGGGACGCCCAUCAGACUAACAGCGGAUCUCUCUGCAGAAACCCUACAAGAAGAGAGUGGGGGCCAAUAUUCAACAUUCUUAAAGAAUUUUCAACCCAGAAUUUCAUAUCUAGCCAAACUAAGCUUCAUAAGUAAAGGAAAAAUAAAAUCCUUUACAGACAAGCAAAUGCUGAGAGAUUUUGUCACCACCAGGCCUGCCUUACGAGAGCUCCUAAAGGAAGCACUAAACAUGGAAAGGAACAACUGGUACCAGCCACUGCAAAAACAUGCCAAAUUGUAAAGACCAUCGAUGCUAUGAAGAAACUGCAUGAAUUAAUGGGCAAAAUAACCAGUGAACAUCAUAAUGACAGGAUCAAAUUCACACAUAACGAUAUUAACCUUAAAUGUAAAUGGGCUAAAUGCCCCAAUUAAAAGACACAGACUGGCAAAUUGGAUAAAGAGUCAAGACCCAUCAAUGUGCUGUAUUCAGGAGACCCAGCUCAUGUGCAAAGACACACAUAGACUAAAAUAAAGGGAUGGAGGAAGAUAUACCAAGCAAAUGGAAAGCAAAAAAAAAAAAAAAAAAAAAGCAGGGGUUACAAUCCUAGUCUCUGAUAAAACAGACUUUAAACCAACAAAGAUCAAAAGAGACAAGGCCAUUACACAAUGGUAAAGGGAUCAAUUCGCCAAGAAGAGCUAACUAUCCUAAAUAUAUAUGCACCCAAUACAGGAGCACCCAGAUUCAUAAAGCAAGUCCUUUGAGACCUACAAAGAGACUUAGACUUGCACACAAUAAUAAUGGGAGACUUUAACACCCCACUGUCAAUAUUAGACAGAUCAACGAGACAGAAGGUUAACAAGGAUAUCCAGGACUUGAACUCAGCUCUGCAACAAGCAGACCUAAUAGACAUCUACAUAACUCUCCACCCCAAAUCAAUAGAAUAUACAUUCUUCUCAGCAUCACAUCACACUUAUUCUAAAAUUGACCACAUAAUUGGAAGUAAAGCACUCCUCAGCAAAUGUAAAAGAACAGAAAUCACAACAAACUGUCUCUCAGACCACAGUGCAAUCAAAUUAGAACUCAGGAUUAAGAAACUCACUCAAAUCCACACAACUACAUGGAAACUGAACGACUUGCUCCUGAAUGACUACUGGGUAAAUAACGAAAUGAAGGCAGAAAUAAAGAUGUUCUUUGAAACCAAUGAGAACAAAGACACAACGUACCAGAAUCUCUGGGACACGUUUAAAGCAGUGUGUAGAGGAAAAUUUAUAGCACUAAACGCCCACAAGAGAAAGCAGGAAAGAUCUAAAAUUGACACCCUAAAAUCACAAUUAAAAGAACUAAAGAAGCAAGAGCAAACACAUUCAAAAGCUAGCAGAAGGCAAGAAAUAACUGAGAUCAGAGCAGAGAUGAAAUAGAUAGAGACACGAAAACCCUUCAAAAAAAUCAAGGAGCCCAGGAGCUGGUUUUUUGAAAAGAUCAACAAAAUUGAUAGACUGCUAGCAAGACUAAUAAAGAAGAAAAGAGAGAAGAAUCAAAUAGAUGCAAUAAAAAAUGAUAAAGGGGAUAUCACCACCAAUCCCACAGAAAUACAAACUACCAUCAGAGAAUACUAUAAACACCUCUUUGCAAAUAAACUAGAAAAUCUAGAAGAAAUGGAUAAAUUCCUGGAAACAUACACCCACCCAAGACUAAACCAGGAAGAAGUUGAACCUCUGAAUAG
rnacentral:lncRNA from 1 species